CUUGAUUCUUUCUUCUUGCUGCUGGAAUACGGUGCUGUAUUGUGAAAUGCCUGAGAGAAAGAAUUAGAUGUUGGUUCUCGCGAGUGAAAAAGGUGGAACAAUGCCACGGGGGACGCACUCUGCUUCUACUCUCAGAGAAAGCAUCAUUUCUGGUGUGGGGAACUGGAAGCAGAAGAGCCUGGAAGGAAAAUGGAAAUGAGCCAAGAACGGUUCUCAGAUUUUGAUCAUCUUCCGGUUCAAUGAAAACCAGAAAAGACUCAACCAAGGAGCUUAGCCAAGUCACGGUGGCCUGUUUGAAGUUCUACAAGUGACACUUGGUGGCAUUUCGUUCAAGCUAAAAACUGAAAUGCCACUUGACAGUUGAGAGCAAGGGAUGAACCCACCACUCCUGGAAGCCCGUUAAGCAGAGGAGAUGAGUAGUCUUCUGGAUGAGUCAGUAGAUAAUAAAAGCUGUCCAAAAAUUAGACUGGUGGUGUAACUGUGAGAUCUGCAACCACAUUUGGUCUCCCAUCUCCCUCUUGAGGCUGGCUUUGAACUGCAGAUUGCAGCCUGGACAGCAGGCAGGCUGGAGCAGUGUCUCCAGGGUCUUCCCAGCUGCAAUGGCUUCCAGAGGUGGCAUAGAGAAUCUGGAUAAGACCAUCCACAGAGAGUCCGAAAAAGGAGAGCCACUCCUUUGGUUGAAUCCGAUUCAAGGUUCGCUUGAAGAAUCUCUAGGUUGGCCUACCGGGUGUCGAAAAGCUCAAUAAAUCGCAUGACGGUGGGUGUCGCACAUUGGCUAUUGUAGCCACAGCAGAGGGAUGAAAGAGCUACAUGUGGCUCCAGAGUCACGGGUUGCUGACCCCUGGUCUAAACUACGGUAGCUCACCUGUUGAAAAUGUUGGCCAGGUAUGCAUCAAAACAUUCCACAUGAGUUUUGUGACUGCCUACAGAGCUGGACCAGGUUCAUUUGGACUCUUCACCACCCCUGUUUGUUUGCUGGUGGGCCGGUGGGCUCCCCUUGCUUGAGAGCCAGAAAGGGGAAACUCUCUCUCCAGUUUUGUCCCAAGGCCUGGGAUUCAGACGGCCGACCUUGUGCUUCUUCCAACCCUACAGAUUCCCAACGUUCAAAAGACCAGCUUCUCCACUGGACUGCAUCAGACUGAAAGCCAGCCAGACGUUUCCUGUCAUACUUUGAAAGGAGCUCAUCUUUCAUUCUUCCCUUGGGCUGCACAGUUUUUGAUCUGUGCCCAAAUUGGUUAACAGAGACAUUUCAUGCAUCACAGGAACGAACCCAGAACAGAUCAGAAACCUGCUAAUGAACAAGAGGAGCUUGCUAAUUGCCCGAGUUGUAUUCGGCUACAUCUCCAGGUGUCUACUGCAACAGAGACACCUGUGAUACCCAGAUGCCACACAGGAGAAACAGGCAGAAGGGCAGUUGGCAUAGAAGCUCACCAGACUUUUUCUGCUCAACAUUCAAAUGUUACUAGGAAGGGUAUUCUGAGUUAUGGGAGAGAAACUACAAAUUAACUAACAAUGUCCACUGCAUAUAAAGAAAAUCAGUAUAAAAUGUUUUAUGCUCCUCUCCUCUCCAGGCCAUUGAAGUCUCCACCACAUUCUCACUAAGAAAGGCUUUGAUCCACGGAGCAGACAUUAAAAGAAUAAAGGGGGGGGGGGCGAGGAGGGAGGCAUUCCUGUCGUGACCAGUUCUGCGUUUGCUUGUUCCAUUUGCCUUCCACACAGAUCGCAGAAUCCCUUUCCAACCAAGGCCCAUGGUUGCAAAUUGAAUUUGUCAAGCUGCAUUCAUCAGAUUAUGGGGAAUGGAAGCACACACUAAUAUCCAGGCUGUGGCAAAGUGGAUGUUUGCGAACCCGGCAUUAUUAAAUGAUUUAUUUUCUAUUAUUAGGAAGACAGCAGUGUUUAUAUUUUAAUACGACAGGGUGGGAGCCAACCAGAUGGUAGUUGGAACAAGCUGCGUGAUUUUAUAAAAACGGGAAAGAGGAAGAUAAGUGAAAGCUUCUAAACGAGGAUUUCUCCAGCUCAGUAAACUUUUUAAGAUAGGGGAAUGUCAACCCUCUGGAACGAGCUUCCCCCAGGACUUCGUCAACUUCCUGACCUUCGGACCUUCCGCCGCGAGCUCAAGACACAUCUAUUUAUUUGCGCAGGACUGAACUAGAUUUUUUUAAAUUUUUAAAUUUUUAAAUGUCUAAAUUUUAGAUUUGGUUUUAAAUUGGGUUUUAUUGUUUAUAUGUCUAUUUUAAAUUUUGG